rnacentral:lncRNA from 1 species
UCCUUGCCGAUAUACUGCCAUCCGAACUUGAGCUUGUUGUUGAACUUUUAGAAGUAGAUCUAGAUCAGCUCUCUAACAUUCUGAAUUAUUCGGCUCACUGUAUUGCUUUACCCUUGCUGAUGGUAAUCUGAUCUCAAGUGGGAUCAUCGCUUUUGUUCCAUAAGCUAGAUUAAAUGAUGAUUCUUUCGUUGGUAUACAUGAGUUGUUCGAUAUACCCAUA